UACGUAGGGUGCAAGCGUUGUCCGGAAUUAUUGGGCGUAAAGAGCGUGUAGGCGGCCAGAUAGGCCUGCUGUGAAAACUCGAGGCUCAACCUCGAGCUGUCGGCGGAAACCAUUUGGCUAGAGUCCGGAAGAGGAGAGUGGAAUUCCUGGUGUAGCGGUGAAAUGCGCAGAUAUCAGGAAGAACACCUAUGGCGAAGGCAGCUCUCUGGGACGGUACUGACGCUGAGACGCGAAAGCGUGGGGAGCGAACAGG
rnacentral:rRNA from 1 species